UUGCCCCACACCCCAGCUCUGAAGGCCCAGAGACUGGUGGUUUUCACAUGGGGAAACCAAGCCCCAGGGCUCAGGGCCAGUAGUCAGCAUGUCCAAGACGAGAUGGGACGGUUCCGAGGCUUGGCAGGUCCAGACCCCAGGCCGCCUGAACAUUCUGACUGAGGUCAAAACUUUAUCAGUAACUGAAUACAAAGGCUUUCUCUUUAGAUAAAAUGCCUACGUCCCCAGCAUUCUGAGUCACAAGAAAAACAGAAGCCUUUAAAGAAAAUCAGAAAUGCCCCAUCGCAAGGGCUCAGGAGCCCCCGGAGGGACACCAGGACAGGGGAGCAUGUCCCUGGUCCCCUGAUACCGGAGGAAACUUCAUUUUGCCAUGCUAGCUUUUGUUCUACCUGAAGAGUCUCAAUAAGUAGCAGCCACUCUACCAACAGCCAGAAUAAGAAAGUAUCUGCGCAUUGCAAGUUCAACUUGGAGGCUUCGGUCAGCCCUGGAGGGGAAGUCACACCGCCCUGGAGCAAGACCACCUGAGUCAGCCGGCUCCCCAGCGUGCGUGUGGAGCCAAGAGGCCAGGGGACCCCAGAGAGCAGAGGAUCAAAGGGACCUGGGGUGGCCUGGUGUGCUGAGAGACAUGCCGAGUGUGGGACACCAGGGACGGCCCACAUCGGGUCCUUAGCAGCACUGCGACCUUGGACAACAGCUCUGUGCCUCGGUUUCCCUGUUGGCAGAUGGAAUAGGAUGUGUGGAGUAGUUACGAUAUCAAUCAAUCCCGUGUAAAACAUAGACUGUGAGAGGUCAGAGCUCCUCCCUGGGAGGUGGGACAGUCAUCAGAGC
ensembl:lncRNA